rnacentral:lncRNA from 1 species
UCAUGUCAUUCGCAUCAUGAUAAUAACAUUUAAAUGGUUUAAAUUGUUGUUGCACCAAAUUGAGUAAUGCAUAUGGGGAUUUACUGAAAUUGUUGUUUGGCGUUCCGUACUCAUUUAAACUUUCCUAGAUAGGUAGUUUUACUUUGCUUCACCUCUUGCCCUGUUAAUCAACAUUUAAUAUUGUUGGGUACAUAAACGAGAUCAAACUAAAUUACUUGUAUGUGGUGUUUCGUCAAUAUGCAACGGAGUUGCAUAUUGAGCUCCACUUAAUUUGUAGGAUUGUUUGUGCACUUUGCCAUGCCAUGCAUAUUUAAACCGGACAUGCAUCAUACUUGGUUGUGCAUCAUGCCAUGUUUAUGUGUUGGUUGUUUACUUUGUUGUGUGCUUCUUUUCCGGUGUUGCUUCUUCGGGUUGGUUCCGGUAACGUCGUGUUUGUGAGGGCCCGUUUGUCUACGUCCGUUUGUCUUCUUCAUGGAAUCGUUCUUCUUCCUUGCGGGAUUUCAGGCAAGAUGAUCAUACCCUCGAAAUCACUUCUAUCUUUGCUUGCUAGAUGCUCGCUCUUUUGCUAUGCCUAUGCUGCGAUACCUACCACAUGCUUAUCAUGCCUCCUAUAUCGUUGAACCAAGCUUCUAACCCACCUUGUCCUAGCAAACCGUUGAUUGGCUAUGUUACCGCUUUGCUCAGCCCCUCUUAUAGCGUUGCUAGUUGCAGGUGAAGAUUGAAGUUUGUUCCUUGUUGGAACAUGGAGAUGUUGUUCUUUGUUGGAACAUGUUUACUUGUUGGGAUAUCACUAUAUAUCUUAUUUAAUUAAUGCAUCUAUAUACUUGGUAAAGGGUGGAAGGCUCGGCCUUAUGCCUGGUGUUUUGUUCCACUCUUGCCGCCCUAGUUUCCGUCAUAUCGGUGUUAUGUUCCCGGAUUUUGCGUCCCUCACGCGUUUGGGCUAUUAUGGGAACCCCUUGACAGUUCGCCUUAAGUAAAGCUCUUCCAGCAAUGCCCAACAUUGGUUUUACCAUUCGCCACCUAGCCUUUUCUUUCCCUUGGGUCGGCCAGCCCAAGGGUCAUCAUUAUUUUACCCCCCCCCCGGGGCCAGUGCUCCUCUGAGUGUUGGUCCAAACUAGAGUCCUGUGCAGCGCCCCCUCGGGGAAACUCGAGGUUUGGUUUUAGUUGUAUGGAGCGCUCAUCUGAGUGUGCCCUGAGAAAGAGAUAUGUGCAGCUCCUAUCGGGAUUUGUCGGCACAUUCGGGCGUUGUUGCUGGUUUAGUUUUACCCUGUCGAAAUGUCUUGUUGUACCGGGAUACCGAGUCUGAUUGGAGGGUCUCGGGUGGAGGUCUAUUCCUUCGUUGACCGUGAGAGCUUGUCAUGGGCUAAGUUGGGACACCCCUACAGGGAUUUGAACUUUCGAAAGCCGUGCCCGCGGUUAUGGGCAGAUGGGAAUUUGUUAACGUCCGGUUGUAGAAAACCUAAAGUCAACCUUAAUUAAAAUGAAUCAACCGCGUGUGUAACCGUGAUGGUCUCUUUCCGGUGGGGGCCGGGAAGUGAACACGGUUGUUGGAGUUAUGCUUGACGUAGGUUGUUCUAGGAUCACUUCUUGAUCAUAGAUUCUCGAACGUGCUUUGCUUUCUCUUCUCGCUCUCUUUUGCGCAUGUUAACCACCAUAUAUGCUAGUCGCUUGCUGCAGCUCCACUUCAUACCUUUACCUUACCCAUAAGCUUAAAUAGUCUUGAUCGCGAGGGUGCGAGAUUGCUGAGUCCCCGUGGCUCACAGAUACUUCCAAAACCAGCUUGCAGGUGCCGAUGAGUCCAUGCAGAUGACGCAACCCAGCGCAGGAGGAGCUCGAUGAAGAUCUUGUCCUUUGUUUUGUUUCGUUUUAGUUGAUCAGUAGUGGAGCCCAGUUGGGGUCGAUCGGGGACCUUGUCGCAUUUGGGGUUCUUCUUUUAUUUUGGUUCCGUAGUCGGACCAUGAGUGUAUUUGGAUGAUGUAAUGUUUAUUCAUGUAAUUGUGUGAAGUGGCGAUUGUAAGCCAACUAUGUAUCUCUUUCCAUUAUGUAUUACAUGGGUUGUGUGAAGAUUACCUCACUUGCGACAUAUGCCUUCAAUGCGAUUAUGUCUCUAAGUUGUGCCUCGACACGUGGG